rnacentral:misc_RNA from 1 species
UAUUGAUAUAAACCUAUUGAGAAAGUCGUCUGCUGGUUUAAACUUGCACGCUCAAAAUAACGUUACAAGAUUUUCUACAUUGAUCUAGCAUAUUAAACAUGUUACUUACAUUUAUUAAAAGUUAAAGAUGGAUUUAAAGCACACAUGCCACUGGAAUUUGGAAUAGUAGACACAACCAGCUGUAGAGAAUCUGCGCAGAAACGAUGAAAAGAAACGACAAGACGUGUAUAUGAAAUAGACAUCAUCGGACGCACGAGAUUUACCAGAAAUUCGAAAAUGAGGAACCCAAGAAACAGCGAGCCUAUGUCUUUAUUGGAUGUUAUAAAGAAUGGAUAUUUUCAACAGGUUCGAUUCCUCGUUGACCAUGGUGUCAAUUUAGAUCAGAGAGACGGGGAAAGGCGGACUGCUCUUAUGCUAUGUGCAUUUAUAGAACCGGCAGCAUGGGGCGUUGGUAUAUGUCGUCUGCUGAUAGAAAAUGGCGCCACAUUGUUUUUAAAGGACAAAUAUGGACUGAAUGCAUUUCAUUACGCAGUAAUUUAUGAACGAGUGGACUUAGUGCGUGUUUAUUUAAAGGCAAUAGAUUUCAAUCUAAACGAGGGCGAUAAGCAAGGAAAUACAGCUUUACAUUAUGCUGUGCGGGCCGGCAAUGCCACCAUUACAAGACUUAUCGCACAGAUGUAUGUUAAAUACGAAAUUCACUUUGAUAAGAUGAAUAAUGACGGAUUCACGCCAUUACAGGAGGCACAUCGUCUGAAUAAAAGAAGAUGUGCUAAACUUCUUGAGAAUCCGGACAUUCUAAGUGACACAAAUGGUAUAGAAGCGAACAUUCCAAUGGAUCUGAAAUCAGAGGAUUUCGAUGGUGACAGUUUUUCUGUCCGAAGUUCCAGAAGGUCUUUCGGCCGCCCACGUUCUUCAGUAUUGUCACAUAGAAGUUCUAAAUCCAGCAUUUUAACGACAAGCGAAUAUUCAUACCGGCGGACGCCGACGGUGUAUAGUUACGACAUUCCCCGGAGAUCAAAGCGUCGUGACCCGACGGUAGAAAUUCCCCCAUAUGAAAAGAAUGAUAAGAAACUAAUCAGAUGCACGAGCGCAAAUGAUAUACGAAACAACCCCGAAUUUCUGUUUAACAUGUCCCCAAUGCACGAGGCUGGAGAAGUGCAACAGGGUGCUCCUAGACGACAUAUCCGUUCAAAAUCUGCAUUUACGCGAAGAUCUGAAGUAGAGAAUGACAUCUUACUGCCAAAGUCCAGCUGGAGAACUGACUUAAGAAAACUGUAUGUCAAAUAUCAGUAUCAGUGCACGCCGUCUUAUAGAGACACAGCUGUCAUGGAAAUAUGUGAUAACGCGUCACUUCCACCUCUUGACAAACCAAUAACGCCCGCAAAUUCUGAACACGCCAUUGACGAAAUGGACGCUAAAGGAAGAAAAACUCGCGGGAAAAGUGCAACAAUGACGAGGCAAAACACAGAAGAAGUUAUAAACGCGGGAAAAAGCAAACAACCCCCAAAACAAAACCCUAGAAAGCUUUCUCAAAACAUUGGUCACGGGGGUAAAAUAGAAGGAGCUCUCGAAUCGAGUAGUGAGUCUAUAAAUAGUUCGGUUUCUUCAAAGAAACAACCCGAUGGUAAACAUUCAAAGCCUGUGAAAGAAACUGGUGUAGGCAGAACUAGUCGCAGCAUGAACCAUAAAACUGUACCAGCAGUCAAUGUUGAAGAGGCAUAAAAAUGUCAGUGGUCCGAUCAGACAAAAGUCGGCUACAGAUCAAUCACUAAAUCCUUGCGCACUGGAAUUAGACUUGGUGAACUUUUCUAAAAUCAAGUUUCGUGAAACCGGUAUGAAAUGUACGUAAAUAUGAAAGAAAUGUUAAUUUUGUCGCUACAAAGUGAUGCAAAAUUGCGAAAUAUGGAAGGAUAUAUAUUCGUUUGUUUCUACGUACCAUCUGAAUACUUUCGACUGUAUAUUUGCCCUGAGAAACACAGCCGCGGAUAAAAAUGUUGAUUUUGUGUUCACGAAUGAAAGAAACCUUUUUUGAUCAGAUAUGUAAAACUAACAUUUUUUCAUGUCUUUACGUAUGAAACGUCUCCUACAACCACGACAUCACAGCUUGUUUGUGAGAAGGCCUUUAAAUGAGUUUUAUUAUUUUAAAUAUGGCUGGCGCAUAUUUUUAGGAGCUUCGCAGUACUGAGUACAUCUUUCUCUUAAUCUAAGUUAACUUUCAUUAAAUUUCCAAUUAUAAAUCAUUCUUAUCAAUCCGCGUCCAUACCAAUAAAAGCUACAAAUACACCACUGAAAACAUGAAAAAUUGGGUUUAUCAAAAUUCAACUAUAAUUUUAUAUAAAAAAAAAUCUGUGACUUGUUCGCUUUACACAGUUCAGUUUCAGGAUAUUUAUUAUUACAGUAUAUUUUUGUUACACUUCCAUUGUUCCUUUAUUUAUUUUUGUUGUAUAAUUUAACUAGUAUUUACUUUUUUGUAACGAGAGUCAAUAUCCUUUGACUUUAUUAUUUUCUUUAGUUAAUAGAACUUUUAAUUCCUUUAUAAUCUUUUGAAAGCAGAUUACUUUAGUUAAUGUUUUUUUAUCCAUACUGGAGUUUUAGCUUUAAUGUUUGUAUUUCAAAUUCAGGAUUACAUUAAGAUCUACGUGCGACCCCGUUUUUGGAAAUGUUGUAAAAAUCUAAAGGAGUGUCAGCACUUUUAAAGGGACUAUCAGUGGAACUAUGUGAUAUUUUCUGCACAAUUUUUUUUUGCUCAUGAAGGGAACGGCCAAAAAAAAAAACCGCAUGAAACGCUGUGAUAUCAAAUUAUUUUUUUAAAGUCGUUCUUUCAUCACAACGUUCUUAUGCAACGUCCACUUGUACAACUUACAACAUAUCUUCGACUUCAAGUUUGUAUUUUGAAAUUUAGAUCGUAUCACCUAAGCACCACUUAGGAUCCCAUUUUAGUUCUUAAUGUUAAAACUAAAAGCUAUUAUUUAUUAUUCAUCAGUUUGCUACAGAAAGGAUACUACAAGUAGUUAUUUAUUAAAUCGGAACCAGA